AAGUGCCCACUGAGCUCCGCCACCAGUCGACUUUCUACGACUAUCAGUCGUUCCCCGAAUCCCUUCCAGACUCCUUCCAGCCAGGUUCAACUCCAAUCCGAACUACACCGGACUCCGCCAACGGCUGAACUUCUCCGACGGUAGAUUCCUACAACUACCAAACUACGUCUGGACUCCUACGGGAGCUGGACUUCACCCACAAC
rnacentral:lncRNA from 1 species